GGGUUCGGGAGGAGAUGGAAGAGAGAAUGCAGGUAUAAGUAACGAAAAGACGGGUGGGAUUUCCCGUCCGCCGGAAAACAUAAGGGUUUCCAGGGUAAAGGCAAUCUGCCCUGGGUAAGUCGGCCCCUAAGGCCAGGUCGAAAGACGUAGCCGAUGGGAAAUCGGUUUAUAAUCCGAUACCUUCCACAGUUUCGAGGACAGGACGCAUGAGGUGAAAUCCGGCCGGAGAACGGUUGUUCCGGUCAAAGCGCCGAGCUGAUGAGGGCCGCAGGCAAAUCCGCGGUCUGAGGUGAAGGCGUUUACAGCGAGCGGAGAAAAAGUCGAACAGCAAGCGCGCAUGUCAUCGGGGCGCCGGGAAAUACUGUCUAAGCGCUAGGCUGUGGAGGACCGUACCGUAAACGGACACACGUAUGUGGGAUGAAAAAUCUAAGCGCGCACGAGCGACCUCGCGUUAAGGAACUCGGCAAAAUGCACACGUAACUUCGGAAGAAGUGUGGCUCUUGAUUGUAUAAAAAUUAAGAGCGGCAAAAAGCAGGCUCAGGCGACUGUUUAUCAAA
rnacentral:rRNA from 1 species